UGUUGAAGUUCAAAUCGGAAGACGUUGGCUAGCUGUUGGCUAGCUAGCUAGCAGUAACUCCUACGUUAAGGACGACAAGUAGCUGGCUAGCUAACCUCGGUAAAUUAAGAUAAUCACUCUAAGUCUACACACUCUAAACUACACAAUUACCUUGGAUACGAAGACAGCAAAGACAACUAUGUAGCUAGCUAACACUACACUAAUCGAGUCGUUGAGUGUAAUAGUUUCUACAGUGCUAGUGGACGAAUCCUUUCCCCUUCCAAAUAACUCACCAAGCCACCCUCCACUUCAAGGAAACCUUCCAUCUUCCACAAAACAGGAACCCUGUUCAGUAAGUUCCAAAGACGUGGAACAGACGAAUCCUGACUCCGGAAUGUUAGAAUCCUGACUCUGGAGUGUCACCUAUCUUCCCCAUUAUCCCCUGUGUCUUCUGUUAUCCUGAGCCUGCCUGCUGUCAGGGACCUUUACUCCACCUCUGGUUUACUGAACUCUGCCUAUCCUGAGCCUGCCUGCCUUGACCUGUUGUUUGCCUGCCCCUGGUGUUACAAAAAACUUCACACAGUCUGCACUUGGGUCUCACCUUGAUUCCAGAUAUUAUUAUGCCAAGGCAGCAGCUACUCUUCCUGGGGACUCGCAAAAUUAAGGCAGUUCUACAAUUUGAUGCCUUCAAGUUGUAGCCCAUGAAGAAGUAGAUAUGGCAUUGAGCUCCCACAUCAUAAAAGGAUACCCACCCUUGUUCAUAGUCUACGUACACCCCGACCCUGGGGUCAAGGAGAGAGGAACAGGAGAGUCACCAAGAGCUUUGUAUGUGCUCCCAUCUCUCAGCCAUAUCAACUAGUAUCCAUUCUCAGGGUUUAGUAAAACACUACCCUUCCUGUUUAUGGACACUCUCGCCACUCCUAAUGUCCAGGCAGUCUUCCCCGUCACCAUUACUUUGUAAUAACACCACCCUGUGGAAAAGCCCUCCUUUCCCAGGAUACUGACGCUCAGAUUAAAUUAUCCUGGGUAGUCUGGAAGAUUCUUUCUUUGCUCUCCUCUUCUAGGGUCUCUCCGGGUCACUUGUUUCCCGUCUGCAGACAGGAGGAGAGAGAGAUGAGCCGUAUCUGGAUCCAGAAUCACAUCCACUGUGGAGAAUCAAGAAAGACAGAGUUUCCCGCUGAGCAAAGUGUACAUAGUGAAUACAGUGUUUGUGUAGUUUUAUAAACUGGGUGGUUCGAGCCCUGGAUGCUGAUUGGCUGACAGCCGUGGUAUAUCAGACCAUGCACCACGGGUAUGUCAAAACAUGUAUUUUUACAUUGGU